rnacentral:rRNA from 1 species
CAGCAGCCGCGGGAAUACGAAGGGUGCAAGCGAUAAUCGGAAUUACUGGGCGUAAAGCGUGCGUAGGCGGUUUGUUAAGUCUGCUGUGAAAUCCCCGGGCUCAACCUGGGAAUGGCAGUGGAUACUGGCAAGCUAGAGUGUGUCAGAGGAUGGUGGAAUUCCCGGUGUAGCGGUGAAAUGCGUAGAGAUCGGGAGGAACAUCAGUGGCGAAGGCGGCCAUCUGGGACAACACUGACGCUGAGGUGCGAAAGCGUGGGGAGCAAACAGGAUUAGAUACCCCAGUAGUCCCUGUCUCUUAUAC